rnacentral:rRNA from 1 species
CCUACGGGGGGCUGCAGUGGGGAAUAUUGCACAAUGGGCGCAAGCCUGAUGCAGCCAUGCCGCGUGUGUGAAGAAGGCCUUCGGGUUGUAAAGCACCUUCAGCGGGGAGGAAGGCGUUAAGGUUAAUAACCUUGGCGAUUGACGUUACCCGCAGAAGAAGCACCGGCUAACUCCGUGCCAGCAGCCGCGGUAAUACGGAGGGUGCAAGCGUUAAUCGGAAUUACUGGGCGUAAAGCGCACGCAGGCGGUCUGUCAAGUCGGAUGUGAAAUCCCCGGGCUCAACCUGGGAACUGCAUUCGAAACUGGCAGGCUAGAGUCUUGUAGAGGGGGGUAGAAUCCCAGGUGUAGCGGUGAAAUGCGUAGAGAUCUGGAGGAAUACCGGUGGCGAAGGCGGCCCCCUGGACAAAGACUGACGCUCAGGUGCGAAAGCGUGGGGAGCAAACAGGAUUAGAUACCCGAGUAGUC